rnacentral:rRNA from 1 species
AGCGAACGCUGGCGGCAGGCCUAACACAUGCAAGUCGAACGAAGCCUUCGGGCUUAGUGGCGGACGGGUGAGUAACACGUGGGAACGUACCUUUUGGUUCGGAAUAACGCAGAGAAAUUUGCGCUAAUACCGAAUGAGCCCUUCGGGGGAAAGAUUUAUCGCCGAAAGAUCGGCCUGCGUUGGAUUAGGUAGUUGGUGUGGUAAAGGCGCACCAAGCCUACGAUCCAUAGCUGGUCUGAGAGGAUGAUCAGCCACACUGGGACUGAGACACGGCCCAGACUCCUACGGGAGGCAGCAGUGGGGAAUCUUGCGCAAUGGGCGAAAGCCUGACGCAGCCAUGCCGCGUGAAUGAUGAAGGUCUUAGGAUUGUAAAAUUCUUUUACCAGGGACGAUAAUGACGGUACCUGGAGAAAAAGCCCCGGCUAACUUCGUGCCAGCCGCCGCCGUAAGAC